rnacentral:rRNA from 1 species
UCAAGUAAUUAAGUGCAUGUGGUGGAUGCCUUGGCAGUCAGAGGCGAUGAAAGACGUGAUAGCCUGCGAAAAGCUCCGGGGAGGCGGCAAAUAUCCUUUGAUCCGGAGAUGUCUGAAUGGGGGAACCCACCUACUUUAAGGUAGGUAUUGCAACAUGAAUACAUAGUGUUGCAAGGCGAACGAGGGGAAGUGAAACAUCUCAGUACCCUUAGGAAAAGAAAUCAAUUGAGAUUCCCUCAGUAGCGGCGAGCGAACGGGGAUCAGCCCAUUAAGUUAUGUGUGUUUUAGUGGAACGCUCUGGGAAGUGCGAACGUAGAGGGUGAUAUUCCCGUACACGAAAGGGCACACAUAAUGAUGACGAGUAGGGCGAGGCACGUGAAACCUUGUCUGAAUAUGGGGGGACCAUCCUCCAAGGCUAAAUACUCCUGACUGACCGAUAGUGAACCAGUACCGUGAGGGAAAGGCGAAAAGAACCCCUGUGAGGGGAGUGAAAUAGAUCCUGAAACCGCAUGCAUACAAGCAGUGGGAGCACCUUCGUGGUGUGACUGCGUACCUUUUGUAUAAUGGGUCAGCGACUUAUAUUCAGUAGCGAGGUUAACCGUAUAGGGGAGCCGUAGAGAAAUCGAGUCUUAAUAGGGCGUUUAGUUGCUGGGUAUAGACCCGAAACCAGGCGAUCUAUCCAUGAGCAGGUUGAAGGUUGGGUAACACUAACUGGAGGACCGAACCCACUGUCGUUGAAAAGCCAGGGGAUGACUUGUGGAUAGGGGUGAAAGGCUAAUCAAGCCUGGUGAUAGCUGGUUCUCCCCGAAAGCUAUUUAGGUAGCGCCUCGGACGAAUACCAUAGGGGGUAGAGCACUGUUUCGGCUAGGGGGUCAUCCCGACUUACCAAACCGAUGCAAACUCCGAAUACCUAUGAGUACUAUCCGGGAGACAGACUGCGGGUGCUAACGUCCGUAGUCAAGAGGAAAACAAUCCAGACCGCCAGCUAAGGCCCCAAAAUCAUAGUUAAGUGGGAAACGAUGUGGGAAGGCAUAGACAGCUAGGAGGUUGGCUUAGAAGCAGCCACCCUUUAAAGAAAGCGUAAUAGCUCACUAGUCGAGUCGGCCUGCGCGGAAGAUGUAACGGGGCUAAAACUAUGUGCCGAAGCUGCGGAUGUAUACUUUGUAUACGUGGUAGGGGAGCGUUCUGUAAGCCGAUGAAGGUGUGUUGAGAAGCAUGCUGGAGGUAUCAGAAGUGCGAAUGCUGACGUGAGUAACGACAAAACGGGUGAAAAACCCGUUCGCCGAAAGACCAAGGGUUCCAGUCCAACGUUAAUCGGGGCUGGGUGAGUCGACCCCUAAGGCGAGGCCGAAAGGCGUAGUCGAUGGGAAAAUGGUUAAUAUUCCAUUACUUCUGUGUAAUGCGAUGAGAGGACGGAGAAGGCUAAAUCAGCCUGGCGUUGGUUGUCCAGGUGAAAGGAUGUAGGCAUGUAUCUUAGGCAAAUCCGGGGUACUCUAUGCUGAGAUCUGAUAGCAAGCUGUACUUGUACAGCGAAGUGGUUGAUGCCAUGCUUCCAGGAAAAGUCUCUAAGCUUCAGUUACACAGGAAUCGUACCCGAAACCGACACAGGUGGUCAGGUCGAGUAGACCAAGGCGCUUGAGAGAACUCUGCUGAAGGAACUAGGCAAAAUGGUACCGUAACUUCGGGAGAAGGUACGCUGUUGUUGGUGAUGGAACUCGCUUCCUGAGCUGACGACAGCCGCAGAAACCAGGCCGCUGCAACUGUUUAUUAAAAACAUAGCACUCUGCAAACACGAAAGUGGACGUAUAGGGUGUGAUGCCUGCCCGGUGCUGGAAGGUUAAUUGAUGGGGUUAGCGUAAGCGAAGCUCUUGAUCGAAGCCCCAGUAAACGGCGGCCGUAACUAUAACGGUCCUAAGGUAGCGAAAUUCCUUGUCGGGUAAGUUCCGACCUGCACGAAUGGCAUAAUGAUGGCGGCGCUGUCUCCAGCAGAGGCUCAGUGAAAUCGAAAUCGCUGUGAAGAUGCAGUGUACCCGCGGCUAGACGGAAAGACCCCGUGAACCUUUACUGCAGCUUGACACUGAACUUUGACCUUACUUGUGUAGGAUAGGUGGGAGGCUUUGAAGCUGGAACGCUAGUUCCAGUGGAGCCGUCCUUGAAAUACCACCCUGGUAAUGUUGAGGUUCUAACUCUGUCCCGUGAUCCGGGACGAGGACCGUGUCUGGUGGGUAGUUUGACUGGGGCGGUCUCCUCCUAAAGAGUAACGGAGGAGUACGAAGGUGCGCUCAGCGUGGUCGGAAAUCACGCGUAGAGUAUAAAGGCAAAAGCGCGCUUAACUGCGAGACCCACAAGUCGAGCAGGUACGAAAGUAGGUCUUAGUGAUCCGGUGGUUCUGUAUGGAAGGGCCAUCGCUCAACGGAUAAAAGGUACUCUGGGGAUAACAGGCUGAUACCGCCCAAGAGUUCAUAUCGACGGCGGUGUUUGGCACCUCGAUGUCGGCUCAUCUCAUCCUGGGGCUGAAGCAGGUCCCAAGGGUAUGGCUGUUCGCCAUUUAAAGAGGUACGCGAGCUGGGUUUAGAACGUCGUGAGACAGUUCGGUCCCUAUCUACCGUGGGCGCUGGAAAUUUGAGAGGAUCUGCUCCUAGUACGAGAGGACCAGAGUGGACGAACCUCUGGUGUACCGGUUGUGACGCCAGUCGCAUCGCCGGGUAGCUAUGUUCGGAAGGGAUAACCGCUGAAAGCAUCUAAGCGGGAAGCCUACCUCAAGAUAAGAUUUCCCUAGGACUUUAUGUCCUCUAAAGAGCCGUUCGAGACUAGGACGUUGAUAGGUUGGAUGUGGAAGCAUAGUGAUAUGUAAGCUGACCAAUACUAAUUGCUCGUGAGGCUUGACUAU